rnacentral:rRNA from 1 species
GGAGAUUAAGUGUGUUGUGAAAUGUAGACGCUCAACGUCUGACUUGCAGCGCAUACUGGUUUCCUUGAGUACGCACAACGUUGGCGGAAUUCGUCGUGUAGCGGUGAAAUGCUUAGAUAUGACGAAGAACUCCGAUUGCGAAGGCAGCUGACGGGAGCGCAACUGACGCUGAAGCUCGAAGGUGCGGGUAUCGAACAGGAUUAGAUACCCUGGUAGUCCGCACAGUAAACGAUGGAUGCCCGCUGUUGGUACCUGGUAUCAGCGGCUAAGCGAAAGCAUUAAGCAUCCCACCUGGGGAGUACGCCGGCAACGGUGAAACUCAAAGGAAUUGACGGGGGCCCGCACAAGCGGAGGAACAUGUGGUUUAAUUCGAUGAUACGCGAGGAACCUUACCCGGGCUUGAAUUGCAGAGGAAGGAUUUAGAGAUAAUGACGCCCUUCGGGGUCUCUGUGAAGGUGCUGCAUGGUUGUCGUCAGCUUGUGCCGUGAGGUGUCGGCUUAAGUGCCAUAACGAGCGCAACCCCUGUCUUUAGUUGCCAUCAGGUUAAGCUGGGCACUCUGGAGAUACUGCCACCGUAAGGUGUGAGGAAGGUGGGGAUGACGUCAAAUCAGCACGGCCCUUACGUCCGGGGCUACACACGUGUUACAAUGGCCGGUACAGAGGGACGGUGUAAUGUAAAUUGCAUCUAAUCUUGAAAGCCGGUCCCAGUUCGGACUGGGGUCUGCAACCCGACCCCACGAAGCUGGAUUCGCUAGUAAUCGCGCAUCAGC